rnacentral:rRNA from 1 species
CAGUAGCCGGGUAAUACGAAGGGGGCUAGCGUUGUUCGGAUUUACUGGGCGUAAAGCGCACGUAGGCGGACUUUUAAGUCAGGGGUGAAAUCCCGGGGCUCAACCCCGGAACUGCCUUUGAUACUGGAAGUCUUGAGUAUGGUAGAGGUGAGUGGAAUUCCGAGUGUAGAGGUGAAAUUCGUAGAUAUUCUGAGGAACACCAGUGGCGAAGGCGGCUCACUGGACCAUUACUGACGCUGAGGUGCGAAAGCGUGGGGAGCAAACAGGAUUAGAUACCCCUGUAGUCCCUGUCUCUUAUACA